AUAAUAUAGUAUAUAAUAUAUAAAAUUAGAAAUUUCUUUUUCUCUUCAUCAAUUUCUCAUCUUCUUCCUUCCAGCUGGGUCUGUUCUUGCUAGGUUUUGGUGAAACAAAACAAAACAAAACAAAAAGGAUUGAUGGGGUACGUUGUGAUAAUUCCACUAUGGAUGUUGUUGUUCGUUGUGAUCGUGGGCCUUACUGUUUACCUAUUAGUAAGGGCCCGUAGACGAAGACAAGCAGCCCAACUUCCAGUUUAUUAUGGGCCUCCAGCUCCCCCACUUGGGGCCCAAGAUAAGCCCAACUGAUUUAUCCAAUACAAUGCUCGUACUAGUAAGUUGUGUGUGUGUGAAUUUUCGAGAAUGUUUUUUCUUUGUUGAUACUAAAGUUUUAUUUUGGACUUUUAGUAUUUGUAUAGAAUUAAAUAAAUGUAUUUGUAAUUUAGUUCAUAUUGUUUGAGCUUAUUGUUGGCAUACAUAUAGACAUUUAUUCAGCUUAUAUAUCUACGUAUAGAGUUCCAAA